rnacentral:pre_miRNA from 1 species
AACAUACUCCCUCCGUCCCAAAAUUCUUGUCUUGGAUUUGUCCAAAUACGGAUGUAUCUAGUUACGUUUUAGUGUUAGAUACAUCCGUAUCUAGACAAAUCUAAGACAAGAAUUUUGGGACGGAGGGAGUAUAUA